rnacentral:rRNA from 1 species
GGAAUUUAAACCAAACGGUAUUUCUGAAGUAAUUGCGAAUGAAUGAGAAUUUGUUUAAUCUGACAAGUGGGGCUGAAAGCCUUGGCAUGUAGUGUAAAACUGCAUCACCAAUGGGGGGUUGGAUGAAUGCUUCUUGGAACAGAGCAGCAAUAAGGGUGAUACUCCUGUUUGCCAUUGAUAAAUCCUUGUGUACUGCAUGCAUGUGCUGAAUCACACUUUUUGGGAAUGAAGUGCAAAGUGGGUGGUAAGUUUCAUUUAAAGAUGCAUAUAAGCUUGAGACUGAUAGUGCACAAGUACCUUGAGGGAAAAAUGAAAAGGACUUUGAAAAGAAAGUUAAAAGAGCCUUAACUUGCUGAGUGGAAAGCAAGCAGACACACUAAAUGUGUGAAAGAUUGCUGUUGUGGUGCACCUCUACUGCAUCAGUUGGUGUGGUGCAAGCACAAUGGUGCAUCUUCUUGCGUUGCCAUUGCUAAUUCAAUAAUGCACAUUGAUUGGGAGUUAACACUUUUGCUAGCUGGCAAAGUGUUUUAACCGUUGGUGGUUUAUGAAUUGGGAAUUGUUUGUGUGGGAAUUGGGAUUGUGGCUUGGUUGGUAACACCUGUGGCCAACUUCAUGAGCAUAUGAAGCAGUAUUGGCCUAAUGCUUCUGCUUGACCCG